AUCUCAUCAAGAGUGGUGGAGGGACUGGCCCUAUGAAGCCCGGCAACCAGUGGUUUAUCCACAAUGGUGCCAAAUCCUGCGGCGAUAUUGCCGAGAGAUGAGAG
rnacentral:ncRNA from 2 species